CUGAGGAGCGAAAGCAUGGGGAGCGAACAGGAUUAGAUACCCUGGUAGUCCAUGCCGUAAACGUUGGGCACUAGGUGUGGGGGACAUUCCACGUUUUCCGCGCCGUAGCUAACGCAUUAAGUGCCCCGCCUGGGGAGUACGGCCGCAAGGCUAAAACUCAAAGGAAUUGACGGGGGCCCGCACAAGCGGCGGAGCAUGCGGAUUAAUUCGAUGCAACGCGAAGAACCUUACCAAGGCUUGACAUGAACCGGACCGCCGCAGAAAUGUGGUUUCCCCUUUGGGGCUGGUUUACAGGUGGUGCAUGGUUGUCGUCAGCUCGUGUCGUGAGAUGUUGGGUUAAGUCCCGCAACGAGCGCAACCCUCGUUCUAUGUUGCCAGCACGUGAUGGUGGGGACUCAUAGGAGACUGCCGGGGUCAACUCGGAGGAAGGUGGGGACGACGUCAAAUCAUCAUGCCCCUUAUGUCUUGGGCUUCACGCAUGCUACAAUGGCCCGGUACAAAGGGUUGCGAUACUGUGAGGUGGAGCUAAUCCCAAAAAGCCGGUCUCAGUUCGG
rnacentral:rRNA from 1 species